UUAGAGUUUGAUCCUGGCUCAGGACGAACGCUGGCGGCGUGCCUAAUACAUGCAAGUCGAGCGAAUCGAUGGGAGCUUGCUCCCUGAGAUUAGCGGCGGACGGGUGAGUAACACGUGGGUAACCUGCCUGUAAGACUGGGAUAACUUCGGGAAACCGGAGCUAAUACCGGAUAGUUUCUUUUCUCGCAUGAGAGAAGAUGGAAAGAUGGUUUCGGCUAUCACUUACAGAUGGACCCGCGGCGCA
rnacentral:rRNA from 1 species